UACGUAGGGUGCGAGCGUUAAUCGGAAUUACUGGGCGUAAAGUGUGCGCAGGCGGCCGCGCAAGUCGGGUGUGAAAGCCCCGGGCUUAACUUGGGAAUUGCGCUCGAAACUACGUGGCUGGAGUGUGGCAGAGGAAGGUGGAAUUCCACGUGUAGCGGUGAAAUGCGUAGAGAUGUGGAGGAACACCAAUGGCGAAGGCAGCCUUCUGGGCCAACACUGACGCUCAUGCACGAAGGCGUGGGGAGCAAACAGG
rnacentral:rRNA from 1 species